AGAGUUUGAUCUUGGCUCAGAAUCAACGCUGGCGGCGUGCCUCAGACAUGCAAGUCGAACGAUUAAAGCUCCCUUCGGGGAGUGCAUAAAGUGGCGCACGGGUGAGUAACACGUAAGUAAUCUACCUUCGAGUGGGGAAUAACAGUCGGAAACGGCUGCUAAUACCGCAUAAUGCAGCGGCAUCGCAAGAUGACAGUUGUUAAAGAUUUAUCGCUUGAAGAGGAGCUUGCGGCAGAUUAGCUAGUUGGUAAGGUAAUGGCUUACCAAGGCUACGAUCUGUAACCGGUCUAAGAGGACGGUCGGUCACACUGACACUGAAUAACGGGUCAGACUCCUACGGGAGGCAGCAGUCGGGAAUUUUGGGCAAUGGGGGAAACCCUGACCCAGCAACGCCGCGUGAAGGAUGAAGUAUUUCGGUAUGUAAACUUCGAAAGAAUAGGAAGAAUUAAUGACGGUACUAUUUAUAAGGUCCGGCUAACUACGUGCCAGCCGCCGCAGUAAC
rnacentral:rRNA from 1 species